rnacentral:sRNA from 1 species
GGUGCUGGUAGUUGGCACUCCUGGCUUCCAGGAUGGGGUUCGAGCCCCUGUGGUGUC